GAUGAACGCUGGCGGCGUGCCUAAUACAUGCAAGUCGAGCGAACAGAUGAGGAGCUUGCUCCUCUGACGUUAGCGGCGGACGGGUGAGUAACACGUGGAUAACCUACCUAUUAGACUGGGAUAACUUCGGGAAACAGGAACUAAUACAGGAUAAUAUACUGAACCGCAUGGUUCAAUAGUGAUAGAAGGUUUUGCUGUCACUUAUAGAUGGAUCCGCGCCGCAUUAGCUAGUUGGUAAGGUAAAGGCUUACCAAGGCAACGAUGCGUAGCCGACCUGAGAGGGUGAUCGGCCACACUGGAACUGAGACACGGUCCAGACUCCUACGGGGGGCAGCAGUAGGGAAUCUUCCGCAAUGGGCGAAAGCCUGACGGAGCAACGCCGCGUGAGUGAUGAAGGUCUUCGGAUCGUAAAACUCUUUUAUUAGGGAAGAACAACUGUGUAAGAAACUAUGCACGUCUUGACGGUACCUAAUCAGAAAGCCACGGCUAACUACGUG
rnacentral:rRNA from 1 species